AUACGUAGGGGGCGAGCGUUGUCCGGAAUGAUUGGGCGUAAAGGGCGCGUAGGCGGCGCGGUAAGUCUGGAGUGAAAGUCCUGCUUUCAAGGUGGGAAUUGCUUUGGAAACUGUCGAACUGGAGUGCAGGAGAGGUAAGCGGAAUUCCUAGUGUAGCGGUGAAAUGCGUAGAUAUUAGGAGGAACACCAGAGGCGAAGGCGGCUUACUGGACUGUAACUGACGUUGAGGCUCGAAGGCGUGGGGAGCAAACAGGAUUAGAUACCCUGGUAGUCCACGCGGUAAACGAUGAUCACUAGGUGUUGGCACGCAUAGCGUGUCGGUGCCGCAGCAAACGCAAUAAGUGAUCCACCUGGGGAGUACGUUCGCAAGAAUGAAACUCAAAGGAAUUGACGGGG
rnacentral:rRNA from 1 species